GGUCAAGUGAAGAAGCGCAUACGGUGGAUGCCUUGGCAGUCAGAGGCGAUGAAAGACGUGGUAGCCUGCGAUAAGCUUCGGGGAGUCGGCAAACAGACUUUGAUCCGGAGAUCUCUGAAUGGGGGAACCCACUCAGCAUAAGCUGAGUAUCUUGUACUGAAUACAUAGGUGCAAGAGGCGAACCAGGGGAACUGAAACAUCUAAGUACCCUGAGGAAAAGAAAUCAACCGAGAUUCCCUUAGUAGUGGCGAGCGAACGGGGACUAGCCCUUAAGUGGCUUUGAGAUUAGCGGAACGCUCUGGAAAGUGCGGCCAUAGUGGGUGAUAGCCCUGUACGCGAAAAUCUCUUAGUCAUGAAAUCGAGUAGGACGGAGCACGAGAAACUUUGUCUGAAUAUGGGGGGACCAUCCUCCAAGGCUAAAUACUACUGACUGACCGAUAGUGAACCAGUACCGUGAGGGAAAGGCGAAAAGAACCCCGGAGAGGGGAGUGAAAUAGAUCCUGAAACCGUAUGCGUACAAGCAGUGGGAGCCUACUUGUUAGGUGACUGCGUACCUUUUGUAUAAUGGGUCAGCGACUUAUAUUCAGUGGCGAGCUUAACCGAAUAGGGGAGGCGUAGCGAAAGCGAGUCUUAAUAGGGCGUUUAGUCGCUGGGUAUAGACCCGAAACCGGGCGAUCUAUCCAUGGGCAGGUUGAAGGUUAGGUAACACUGACUGGAGGACCGAACCGACUACCGUUGAAAAGUUAGCGGAUGACCUGUGGAUCGGAGUGAAAGGCUAAUCAAGCUCGGAGAUAGCUGGUUCUCCUCGAAAGCUAUUUAGGUAGCGCCUCAUGUAUCACUGUAGGGGGUAGAGCACUGUUUCGGCUAGGGGGUCAUCCCGACUUACCAAACCGAUGCAAACUCCGAAUACCUACAAGUGCCGAGCAUGGGAGACACACGGCGGGUGCUAACGUCCGUCGUGAAAAGGGAAACAACCCAGACCGUCAGCUAAGGUCCCAAAGUUAUGGUUAAGUGGGAAACGAUGUGGGAAGGCUUAGACAGCUAGGAGGUUGGCUUAGAAGCAGCCACCCUUUAAAGAAAGCGUAAUAGCUCACUAGUCGAGUCGGCCUGCGCGGAAGAUGUAACGGGGCUCAAACCAUACACCGAAGCUACGGGUAUCACUUAGGUGAUGCGGUAGAGGAGCGUUCUGUAAGCCUGUGAAGGUGAGUUGAGAAGCUUGCUGGAGGUAUCAGAAGUGCGAAUGCUGACAUGAGUAACGACAAUGGGAGUGAAAAACUCCCACGCCGAAAGACCAAGGUUUCCUGCGCAACGUUAAUCGACGCAGGGUUAGUCGGUCCCUAAGGCGAGGCUGAAAAGCGUAGUCGAUGGAAAACAGGUUAAUAUUCCUGUACUUCUGGUUAUUGCGAUGGAGGGACGGAGAAGGCUAGGCCAGCUUGGCGUUGGUUGUCCAAGUUUAAGGUGGUAGGCUGAGAUCUUAGGUAAAUCCGGGAUCUUAAGGCCGAGAGCUGAUGACGAGUUGCCAUUAGGCGACGAAGUGGUUGAUGCCAUGCUUCCAAGAAAAGCUUCUAAGCUUCAGAUAACCAGGAACCGUACCCCAACACAGGUGGUUGGGUAGAGAAUACCAAGGCGCUUGAGAGAACUCGGGUGAAGGAACUAGGCAAAAUGGCACCGUAACUUCGGGAGAAGGUGCGCCGGUGAGGGUGAAGGACUUGCUCCGUAAGCCCAUGCCGGUCGAAGAUACCAGGCCGCUGCGACUGUUUAUUAAAAACACAGCACUCUGCAAACACGAAAGUGGACGUAUAGGGUGUGACGCCUGCCCGGUGCCGGAAGGUUAAUUGAUGGGGUUAGCUAACGCGAAGCUCUUGAUCGAAGCCCCGGUAAACGGCGGCCGUAACUAUAACGGUCCUAAGGUAGCGAAAUUCCUUGUCGGGUAAGUUCCGACCUGCACGAAUGGCGUAACGAUGGCGGCGCUGUCUCCACCCGAGACUCAGUGAAAUUGAAAUCGCUGUGAAGAUGCAGUGUAUCCGCGGCUAGACGGAAAGACCCCGUGAACCUUUACUAUAGCUUUGCACUGGACUUUGAAUUUGCUUGUGUAGGAUAGGUGGGAGGCUUUGAAGCGUGGACGCCAGUUCGCGUGGAGCCAUCCUUGAAAUACCACCCUGGCAACUUUGAGGUUCUAACUCAGGUCCGUUAUCCGGAUCGAGGACAGUGUAUGGUGGGUAGUUUGACUGGGGCGGUCUCCUCCUAAAGAGUAACGGAGGAGUACGAAGGUGCGCUCAGACCGGUCGGAAAUCGGUCGUAGAGUAUAAAGGCAAAAGCGCGCUUGACUGCGAGACAGACACGUCGAGCAGGUACGAAAGUAGGUCUUAGUGAUCCGGUGGUUCUGUAUGGAAGGGCCAUCGCUCAACGGAUAAAAGGUACUCCGGGGAUAACAGGCUGAUACCGCCCAAGAGUUCAUAUCGACGGCGGUGUUUGGCACCUCGAUGUCGGCUCAUCACAUCCUGGGGCUGAAGCCGGUCCCAAGGGUAUGGCUGUUCGCCAUUUAAAGUGGUACGCGAGCUGGGUUUAGAACGUCGUGAGACAGUUCGGUCCCUAUCUGCCGUGGACGUUUGAGAUUUGAGAGGGGCUGCUCCUAGUACGAGAGGACCGGAGUGGACGAACCUCUGGUGUUCCGGUUGUCACGCCAGUGGCAUUGCCGGGUAGCUAUGUUCGGAAGAGAUAACCGCUGAAAGCAUCUAAGCGGGAAACUUGCCUCAAGAUGAGAUCUCACUGGAGCCUUGAGCUCCCUGAAGGGCCGUCGAAGACUACGACGUUGAUAGGUUGGGUGUGUAAGCGCUGUGAGGCGUUGAGCUAACCAAUACUAAUUGCCCGUGAGGCUUGACCAU
rnacentral:rRNA from 1 species